GCAGCAGCCGCGGGAACACCGGCGGCCCGAGUGGUGAUCGUGAUUAUUGGGUCUAAAGGGUCCGUAGCCGGUUUGGUCAGUCCUCCGGGAAAUCUGAUAGCUCAACUAUUAGGCUUUCGGGGGAUACUGCCAGACUUGGAACCGGGAGAGGUAAGAGGUACUACAGGGGUAGGAGUGAAAUCUUGUAAUCCCUGUGGGACCACCUGUGGCGAAGGCGUCUUACCAGAACGGGUUCGACGGUGAGGGACGAAAGCUGGGGGGCACGAACCGGAUUAGAUACCCGGGUAGUCCCAGCCGUAAACGAUGCUCGCUAGGUGUCAGGCAUGGCGCGACCGUGUCUGGUGCCGCAGGGAAGCCGUGAAGCGAGCCACCUGGGAAGUACGGCCGCAAGGCUGAAACUUAAAGGAAUUGGCGGGGGAGCACAACAACGGGUGGAGCCCUGCGGUUUAAUUGGACUCAACGCCGGACAACUCACCGGGGGCGACAGCAAUAUGUAGGCCAAGCUGAAGACUUUGCCUGAAUCGCUGAGAGGUGGUGCAUGG
rnacentral:rRNA from 1 species